rnacentral:rRNA from 1 species
GACGAACCGUGCGAACGUUAUUCGGAAUCACUGGGCUUAAAGCGCGUGUAGGCGGAUGAGAACGUCUGUCGCUGAAAUCCCCCGGCUCAACCGGGGAACUGGCGGAGAUACGGCUCGUCUGGAGGGGCGUAGGGGGACCUGGAACUUCCGGUGGAGCGGUGAAAUUCGUAGAUAUUAGGAAGAACACCAGUGGCGAAGGCGGCUCACUGGCCCGGUACUGACGCUGAGGCGCGAAAGCGUGGGGAGCAAAGCAGG